UUAAGGCGUAGGCGCUGAGUGACUUGAAUAAUAUUUAUAUAUAUUUUGGAGAUUGUCGAAAACGGUCUUUACAACCGCUUGGUCUAUAUGCUAAAAGCACUUGCCGGAUAGACUAGUAUGGAUUAACACAAUACCUUUUUUCAUGAAUAAAUGGAUAUGGUUGGACGAUUAGAUGAAAACAAAACUGCUAGAGUAAAGGUGUUUUAAAUGAUUAUAUUAGACGUGUGUGAGAUGCUUUUUGAAAGGAUAGUAUGCAGUUUGACAUAUGGCAGAGGAAAUUAAGAUAUAAUUAAAUCUUUUACAGUUCGUGUUAUUGGAUUAAUCACGACAAUACGGCGUGAUUGUGUAAAAUAGUUUGGUUGGCACACGUCCAUAAAGCAAGUGUUGAUAUCGGAAAUUCAUCGACCGCAACGAAAAGAUGACUGUUAAGGACACUGGUGAAAGCGCUGCAUCCAGGCACAUGGCAAAAAGACAAAAGACUGACACUGUUGCAAAAGAUGUUCAAGACCCUGGUGGGGCGAGAUAUAACACCCCGUCGGAACUCAUGAUUGGCGUAAUAGGAGCUGCUACACGUACACCAGACAUGAAUAUAGUUGACUUUAGCGAUGAUACUUCCGAUAUUGAAAUAACACCGGGAUCAAAGCCUCUUUCUGACUCCGAUGUUCCCUCGAGACCUGAAAAAGUAAAAAGGAAAAAACACACGAAAGGAGAACAUUCAAAGAAACAUCCAAAAGAUGAUGAAAAGUCUCAGAACAAAGGCGGACAAAGUGACUCUACAAAUAUCAAUGCUAAUGCUAAAAGCUGACACAAUAAUAAAUGAUGCAAUAUAUCAAAUUUUUGUAUUGACUAUGAUCUCAUCCAGUGUAUUGUAUAUAUUGUACCAUAGUGAUUUGUCAUAAGCUGCUUUAAGUCAUUUGCAGACAACAUACUGCCCGCAUCACAGUACAUUAUAUCUAUGCAAAUGCGUUAGGAUUUACAUGUAUAUGACAGGUUCUCAUUUCAAAAAUAAUAACACUGUUAUUAUUUUUAUUUAUAGACUUUGUCAAAUAUAUGUCCAAUGCGUUUGCAUAAUCAUAGCGUACUUUAAUCAAAAUACUAGAUUUUCACAGACCGAUCAUCGAAGAGUAUUUUCUAGACGAGUUUUAAAUGCUAAAAGAAUUGAACCUUUAUGUAUAUAUUUUUUGUUAAUGCAUCUGGCAUAUUGGUUAAACAUUCCAAAUCGUUGUCUUAUAUGUACUUUUUGUGAGUAAAGGGAGACAACACUUAUACCUGAAAUUGAACUAGUUAGAUAUUAAGACGGUUGAUAAAACUUUUCAAUUAAAAAGUUUAUGUUUAAGUGUUCAUUUUAUUUUGCUUUUGAAAUAUCCUGUACAUGUCAUUUGAAGAGUUUAGACAUGCCUACAGAUUAUCAUAUACAUGUAACUGAAAUUUAUGUCAACAUGCAAGUUUAUUUUCUUUAUUCAUACAUAAGACAUAUGUACCGAUAUUUUCUCUUUAAUACAGUUAAUGCUACAAAUGUAAUACAUUUAUUAAUAUAUCAACAGAUCAUUUUAAUAGAAGUUGUUCAUUUAUUUCUAACUCAACGAAGGGAAAGCAGCAUGAGCAGUGAAUUAUUUGCUAGCAUUUGCAACCUUAAAUCUUGUUUAUUUCUUACAACAUUUGUUUGAGUCCUAGUUUUAUUUUACAUCUGUCAUAUAUAAGAUUGUUCGACCAGAUUUGAGCAUACAGGAUAUGAUUUAAUGUUCAGCUUUAUUUCAAUAUUAUGAACGUACAACAAUAGUUCAAGAUAAAUCUCUUCUUUUGUAUUUAUGGUUUUACUUAAUGGAUGUAACAUUGAUUUUUAAACGCGCUAUAUGAAAAAAUAGAUUUUGUAUUGUCAGCAAUAAUUAUACUUCUUUAAGUGUUGGGGGGAAAGUAGGAUCAAUGUUAAAGGUGUUUUUACAUUUUACUCAUUAUUGUUUCAAAGUUUAUCGUUACAGGAAUAUAGGAAUGUUUUAUCUAUCUGUUGAAAGAUACAAAACACACUGAAAUUCAAAAUCAUUUAUAUAUCGGAAUCAUGCAUAAUGCCCUAAAGCUUAUUGUAGUAGUAAAAGCACGGACUAUAUCAGUGACGGAAAGAUCAUUUGACAUUACCGGCCAUCGAGUGUAGCAGUUCUUGUAGAGCAAAAGAUAUAUCUAUAUUUUUAUAUGUUUUCUGUAGCUGAAUAUUUCAUCUUUUUGUUUAAUAACAUUUUGUGGUUCGUUUAUAUAAACGUUCAUAACAACAGAGAUCUGAAAAAUAUUCAAUCGUUCAGUUUUGAGGUUUCAAUUGUACACAACUCUAUGUUUUAGAUAUACCAUCUGUUUAAAGAUUAUAUGUGAUGGGUUGUCUUGAUUGUAGAUGUGUAUUGUCACAAGAAGUAAAGAAACAAUUCUACAUUUAAAAUUAUCUUAAAUAUAGAAAUAAAUGGAAGGAACGGUGAUAAUUCAAAAACAAAAGAAAACAUUCUAUAGUUAAAUAUUAAACUUACAUACAUAUUUAUCUGAACAUUUAAUAAAGAUGUUACUUUUUGACCGGUGUAUAUAAUUAAAUUAUGAAGAGUUCAUAUAUAAAAUAUAAGACAUAAAAUUAUGUCAAUGACAAAAUUUAUUUACUAAACAUGAUGUUGCAAUGUAGAGUUUGAUUUAAAAUGCGUGUCAUAGUUAUUCUUUGAGGGAAAAGCAAUACAAAACAGUAUGUAAACUUUUGUUAAGAAUUUACAUGUGAAGUAAAUAUAUCUGGAAAAAUAAUUAAUGAAUAUUUUCUUGCUAAUUGUAUUAAAAUAUUCAAAGUGUGUAAAGGGAAACAAUUCAAACAAAAUAUAUUAUACCUUAGAUUGCAAUAAGACUUAAUUGAUCAAAUAUUUAUAUCGCUCUAAACCAGCUUUGUUUUUUUCUUUUAUAGAAUAGUUUGUGACACAAUGUAUAUCGACAAAGGGAAAUAACACAGAAGCAAUUUUGUAUACCUAAAUAUAUUGCAAACACUAGUGAAGAUUUGUUUUCUAUGCUGUAGAUUUGAUUACACUGUCUGGAUGUUUCGCGACAAGUUUGUAAAAAAGGAACGGAAAUAAUACAAUCUGAAACACUUAUACGUCAUAUUUUCGACUUUAUUUACAAUUAUGUAUAAAUACUGACUAAAUAUAUUGUUAUUUCUAUAUCUAAAGCUCUCUAUGACAUUAUUAUGCAAAACACAUACCACACAGACAACACAAUAUAAACCAAAUAGCUGUAAACGCUUCAGUAAGUAGAUAAGUAUUGAGUUACAAUCCAUACAACUGAAGGUAAACAAAACAGAGAGUUCAUGGUUUGUAUAAUUAGUUAAAAAUUUAAUGCUUCACUUAGCUCAAGGUUUAAACAUUGUAAACAUGUGUAUGUUUUUUUUUACGAUUAUUGCUUUAAAAAACUAUGAUAAGCACUUUAAACAUUAACAUCAUUGUAAAUAUGAUUUUGAUUCUUGAAUCUUUAAACAUAUAUGCAUAUGUAUACAUAUUAAUUUGUUUCUGGUUAAAGGGAAGCAACACACACUGUAGUUUGCAUCCCAGAUACCUAGAUCUGGUGCAUAUUGUUAUAAUCGUAUGUAUUUUGUAUGUGAAUUAAAUGCUUUCUCUGUAUAAGGGUAUGAUUUAAAAUUCAACAAGCGAUUGUCUUAAUGACCGGAAAAACAGUAGUUAUGUAUCUGGUUUAUCUGUGAGGUGUUGAAUUAAAUCACGUUUUAACCAUAGUCUCAUUUUAAUCUUGCGAUUAUCAGCAUAUAUUUUUCAAAAUCCGUUUUCAAAUUCAGGGUUUUCUUUUCCUUCAUAAGAGGGGCCGUUAAUAGGCCCCUUGCCCUCAAAAUCAUUCUUUAAAAUCAUGCAUUUUUCCCCAAAAUUGACAACAUCAGGUUAUUUAUUCCCCUUUACCCAAAUAUCAAGCUAUUUUGCAAUCAAAUCACAGGCCUGGGCCCUUCCCUUUCUGAUAAAAAACCCUGAUAUUAAUAACUGCUAUUAUACCUACUGAUAUAUGCAAUGUAAUUUUAUGUUAUUAUUUUCCGCUUGUGAUUUUAUUCAUUUCACUCUGUAUUAUUAUGUUUAGGUAGCGCAUUGUAAGAUGUGGUUAUGUUAAUAGUAGUGUUUACAAAAGCGCUUUAACGCUGAUAUUCAAAUUACGACUAUGUCGUCAGUAUUCAGAUUUACAUACUUUAAUGAUGUAUAUGACACAUCUAAAAUCAAUGUUAUUUUGUUGUUAUUCAAAAUUAUAUGUCGCUUUGUUUACUUAACUUUUGCUUAAGUAUGUUUAAAUUUCUUCACUGAAAAUGAAUAUCCAACGUUUAUGUUAUGUACGUGUUUUUCCAGACUAACUUUUAUUUCUUUAUAUGGUUUUAUGUCAUGUUAUCAGACCUGAAAACACUUACAGUUCAUAAACAUUAGAUGUGCCGUACAGAUAGAGUAAUAUUAAUAGCGCUAUUCUAUUUGAAAUGUAGUGUUUUUCUUCCCUAUCUAUCAUGACACGAAAAUCUUGUAAACUAAUCUGCUUAACAUCAAAAACUUAUACAGGGAUAAAUAUGUAAUUAUUUUGGUGCUGCUACUUGUUUUCUUUUUUCAGACCAAAAUAAUAAACACACCAUUUUGAUAACACCAGACACCAAAAACAAACAUGUUUUUAUUCAGUUUUGCUUAUAAUAGUGUAAGAAAAUGAAAAAGGUCUAAAAGCAUAGCAAAACACAACCUCAACUGCACACAUAUGAAUUGUAGAAAACAUUUAUUACAAAGACAAUGUACGAUCUUACAUAUCUAAUAUCUUAUACAUGUGUUUGUAUUUGAAGUAAAAUCUGAUUGUCUUAAACACGGGUAUUGGUCUCAUUCAUGAUUAAGAUUAAUUAAACUUGAGAUAUGUAAUUGUAGAUACUCACUCCCAGAUAAAUAUUAUGCAAUCAUUGUAAAAUAUUUUAACUUCUAUUGCUAACAUUUACGUUGUAAACGGUCAAAGGGAAGCAACACUGAUAAAAAUUUGAAUACCGUUAUUUUUGCAGAUGUUGCACAUGUAUACUAAGAAUGUGUUCAAUGUGCUUGCGCACGUAGGUGAGUGCAAGCGUUCGUGCGAGUAUUUGCGUGCGUAAUGCCUGUGUGCGUGCGUGUGUCACAUCUAUCAGUUGCAAAUUUGAUUUUCACAUUACAUACUUUACAUAAAUUGUUAUUGUUUAGCCUAUCUUUGUAAAUGUUGAUUUUUAUGCUGAACACUAAAAACGGAAUAAGAUGUUAUUGUUCGAUUAUUAUUUCAGUCUAAUUGGGAUAUAUUUCUAUUUGAUCGGGCUACAGUUUAUUUAGAUAUGUUGGAUGUUUUCUGCAAAUACAAAAUGGAUAUGAGCAGAAAAUGUCCUUUGCCUGGUUUUAUUGUUCCCAUCGAGUGCAACAGAUCUUGUAGAGCUAAAUCUAAGCUUAUUGUAUUUGAUGUAUCAUUUUCAAAAAUACUUUUUCUAACUAUUUUGCGAAAUUAUUAGUCGCUUUGUGUUAAGUUAUACUCUAGAUAUGUCCAAUAAAGUGAGUAGUCAUUUUGACAUACGAGUAUUUUGUUAGUUCUUGACACAUGCAUGUAAUUCACACAUGAUUAACCCUGUAUAAAAUUGUCUUUGUUUUGGUUUUGAAGUAUUUAUAUAAUACCAUCGCUUUUGCAUAAUUUACUGCAUUUUGCUUUGUUGUAUAAAUUUAUGAAUUGUGAUAAUAUAUUGAUUUUCUGUGAGCCAAUUUCUCAAUCUAUAAAUAAAAAGUCUUUUUAAAAUAUUA